rnacentral:misc_RNA from 2 species
AGUCGUAACAAGGUCUCCGUAGGUGAACCUGCGGAGGGAUCAUUACAAGAACGCCCGGGCUUCGGCCUGGUUAUUCAUAACCCUUUGUUGUCCGACUCUGUUGCCUCCGGGGCGACCCUGCCUUCGGGCGGGGGCUCCGGGUGGACACUUCAAACUCUUGCGUAACUUUGCAGUCUGAGUAAACUUAAUUAAUAAAUUAAAACUUUUAACAACGGAUCUCUUGGUUCUGGCAUCGAUGAAGAACGCAGCGAAAUGCGAUAAGUAAUGUGAAUUGCAGAAUUCAGUGAAUCAUCGAAUCUUUGAACGCACAUUGCGCCCCCUGGUAUUCCGGGGGGCAUGCCUGUUCGAGCGUCAUUUCACCACUCAAGCCUCGCUUGGUAUUGGGCAACGCGGUCCGCCGCGUGCCUCAAAUCGUCCGGCUGGGUCUUCUGUCCCCUAAGCGUUGUGGAAACUAUUCGCUAAAGGGUGUUCGGGAGGCUACGCCGUAAAACAACCCCAUUUCUAAGGUUGACCUCGGAUCAGGUAGGGAUACCCGCUGAACUUAAGCAUAUCAAUAA